rnacentral:rRNA from 1 species
CAGUCGAACGAACUUCCGUUAAUUGAUUAUGACGUACUUGUACUGAUUGAGAUUUUAACACGAAGUGAGUGGCGAACGGGUGAGUAACACGUGGGUAACCUGCCCAGAAGUAGGGGAUAACACCUGGAAACAGAUGCUAAUACCGUAUAACAGAGAAAACCGCAUGGUUUUCUUUUAAAAGAUGGCUCUGCUAUCACUUCUGGAUGGACCCGCGGCGUAUUAGCUAGUUGGUGAGGUAAAGGCUCACCAAGGCAGUGAUACGUAGCCGACCUGAGAGGGUAAUCGGCCACAUUGGGACUGAGACACGGCCCAGACUCCUACGGGAGGCAGCAGUAGGGAAUCUUCCACAAUGGACGCAAGUCUGAUGGAGCAACGCCGCGUGAGUGAAGAAGGGUUUCGGCUCGUAAAGCUCUGUUGUUAAAGAAGAACGUGGGUAAGAGUAACUGUUUACCCAGUGACGGUAUUUAACCAGAAAGCCACGGCUAACUACGUGCCAGCAGCCGCGGUAAUACGUAGGUGGCAAGCGUUAUCCGGAUUUAUUGGGCGUAAAGCGAGCGCAGGCGGUCUUUUAAGUCUAAUGUGAAAGCCUUCGGCUCAACCGAAGAAGUGCAUUGGAAACUGGGAGACUUGAGUGCAGAAGAGGACAGUGGAACUCCAUGUGUAGCGGUGAAAUGCGUAGAUAUAUGGAAGAACACCAGUGGCGAAGGCGGCUGUCUGGUCUGCAACUGACGCUGAGGCUCGAAAGCAUGGGUAGCGAACAGGAUUAGAUACCCUGGUAGUCCAUGCCGUAAACGAUGAUUACUAAGUGUUGGAGGGUUUCCGCCCUUCAGUGCUGCAGCUAACGCAUUAAGUAAUCCGCCUGGGGAGUACGACCGCAAGGUUGAAACUCAAAAGAAUUGACGGGGGCCCGCACAAGCGGUGGAGCAUGUGGUUUAAUUCGAAGCUACGCGAAGAACCUUACCAGGUCUUGACAUCUUCUGACAGUCUAAGAGAUUAGAGGUUCCCUUCGGGGACAGAAUGACAGGUGGUGCAUGGUUGUCGUCAGCUCGUGUCGUGAGAUGUUGGGUUAAGUCCCGCAACGAGCGCAACCCUUAUUACUAGUUGCCAGCAUUAAGUUGGGCACUCUAGUGAGACUGCCGGUGACAAACCGGAGGAAGGUGGGGACGACGUCAAAUCAUCAUGCCCCUUAUGACCUGGGCUACACACGUGCUACAAUGGAUGGUACAACGAGUCGCGAGACCGCGAGGUUAAGCUAAUCUCUUAAAACCAUUCUCAGUUCGGACUGUAGGCUGCAACUCGCCUACACGAAGUCGGAAUCGCUAGUAAUCGCGGAUCAGCAUGCCGCGGUGAAUACGUUCCCGGGCCUUGUACACACCGCCCGUCACACCAUGAGAGUUUGUAACACCCAAAGCCGGU